AUUGAACGCUGGCGGCAGGCCUAACACAUGCAAGUCGAACGAGUGGCGGACGGGUGAGUAAUGUCUGGGAAACUGCCUGAUGGAGGGGGAUAACUACUGGAAACGGUAGCUAAUACCGCAUACCAUCAGAAGUGCCCAGAGGGGAGUAGCUAGUAGGUGGGGUAAUGGCUCACCUAGGCGACGAUCCCUAGCUGGUCUGCGAGGAUGACCAUCCACACUGGAAAUGAGACACGGUCCAGACUCCUACGGGAGGCAGCAGUGGGGAAUAUUGCACAAUGGGCGCAAGCCGGAUGCAGCCAUGACGCGGGUGUGAAGAAGGCCUUCGGGUUGUAAAGCACUUUCAGCGGGGAGGCGUUACUCGCAGAAGAAGCACCGGCUAACUCCGUGCCAGCCGCCGCGAUAAUAC
rnacentral:rRNA from 1 species